CAAAAUUCCAACAGAAAGCAGAAGCAAGGCAUGAGGAAACAGAGCCAAUCUUCAGUAAUACAAAGCCAGCAGCAACUGCUUCUUCUUAUGUGUAUCUCCAAAAGUUAUCUGCACUUCAUUAUCUGCGCUUACCAUGGGUCGCUCAACACUGUCUACCGGACGUAAGAGUAGUUUCUGCUCUUUCUCCUCAAGUUGCCCAUAGUAGAGAGGAAGCUGUUGACCAUGACCAUGUCUUAUAUUUGUGCAUUCCUGGUCCUAGAGGUUUCUGGCAUAUAAUGAAGACAAAUAAAUGAAAGAAAAUCUCAUCAGAGUGACAUCAAGAACCAUUUUUUUUAAUUGGCAAUCUGAUUCUAAAAACAUAUGAAAAUGCAAAGGACUUAGUAAAGCCAUAACAUCUUUGAAAAGAAAAACAAAGUGGGAAGACAAACACUACCUGGUUUCAAGAUGAAUUACAGAACUAUAAUCAUCAAGAGAAUGUGGUUCUGACAUCAAGACAGACAAAUACAAAAACAGAAGAAAAUAGAAAAUCCAGAAAUAAACCUACACAAAUACGCA
rnacentral:lncRNA from 12 species